rfam:Sulfuricurvum sp. MLSB contig_1773, whole genome shotgun sequence.
GUAGACGUCUUGGUGUGUUGGUGGUCUCGUUUGAGCCUGCGGGCGAGAGAUUGCCGCCGGAUAGACGCUCGGUCCGCUUUUUUUUCAGCUUUGAGAACCAAGGCUACUGCGAAACGCCCGCCUGGGC